rnacentral:ncRNA from 1 species
GGCCACGACGCCUAAAGGCUUUUAAAGAACUCGGGAAAACAACCCACCCAAACCCCACCCGACCCCGUCCUGACCUGCGUCACUCACACGGGUGACAUAUGACAACUGAGCUGGAUUUGGCCCGGGUUGGCUGGCAUAUGCUCGCCGCGACAACCACAGAACGAGACGGCCCCCGGCGAGACGCGAAUCUCAACCAGGGGCCUGACCACCGAGGAAGUAGCCCUUCCCA